AUUCUUUUAUUAUAUUAAAUAUAUUUGACCUCCAAUCAAAAGAUCUCUUUAGAGAAAGAAUA
rnacentral:tRNA from 2 species